rnacentral:rRNA from 1 species
ACGAGUGGCGGACGGGUGAGUAAUGUCUGGGAAACUGCCUGAUGGAGGGGGAUAACUACUGGAAACGGUAGCUAAUACCGCAUAACGUCGCAAGACCAAAGAGGGGGACCUUAGGGCCUCUUGCCAUCGGAUGUGCCCAGAUGGGAUUAGCUAGUAGGUGGGGUAACGGCUCACCUAGGCGACGAUCCCUAGCUGGUCUGAGAGGAUGACCAGCCACACUGGAACUGAGACACGGUCCAGACUCCUACGGGAGGCAGCAGUGGGGAAUAUUGCACAAUGGGCGCAAGCCUGAUGCAGCCAUGCCGCGUGUAUGAAGAAGGCCUUCGGGUUGUAAAGUACUUUCAGCGGGGAGGAAGGGAGUAAAGUUAAUACCUUUGCUCAUUGACGUUACCCGCAGAAGAAGCACCGGCUAACUCCGUGCCAGCAGCCGCGGUAAUACGGAGGGUGCAAGCGUUAAUCGGAAUUACUGGGCGUAAAGCGCACGCAGGCGGUUUGUUAAGUCAGAUGUGAAAUCCCCGGGCUCAACCUGGGAACUGCAUCUGAUACUGGCAAGCUUGAGUCUCGUAGAGGGGGGUAGAAUUCCAGGUGUAGCGGUGAAAUGCGUAGAGAUCUGGAGGAAUACCGGUGGCGAAGGCGGCCCCCUGGACGAAGACUGACGCUCAGGUGCGAAAGCGUGGGGAGCAAACAGGAUUAGAUACCCUGGUAGUCCACGCCGUAAACGAUGUCGACUUGGAGGUUGUGCCCUUGAGGCGUGGCUUCCGGAGCUAACGCGUUAAGUCGACCGCCUGGGGAGUACGGCCGCAAGGUUAAAACUCAAAUGAAUUGACGGGGGCCCGCACAAGCGGUGGAGCAUGUGGUUUAAUUCGAUGCAACGCGAAGAACCUUACCUGGUCUUGACAUCCACGGAAGUUUUCAGAGAUGAGAAUGUGCCUUCGGGAACCGUGAGACAGGUGCUGCAUGGCUGUCGUCAGCUCGUGUUGUGAAAUGUUGGGUUAAGUCCCGCAACGAGCGCAACCCUUAUCCUUUGUUGCCAGCGGUCCGGCCGGGAACUCAAAGGAGACUGCCAGUGAUAAACUGGAGGAAGGUGGGGAUGACGUCAAGUCAUCAUGGCCCUUACGACCAGGGCUACACACGUGCUACAAUGGCGCAUACAAAGAGAAGCGACCUCGCGAGAGCAAGCGGACCUCAUAAAGUGCGUCGUAGUCCGGAUUGGAGUCUGCAACUCGACUCCAUGAAGUCGGAAUCGCUAGUAAUCGUGGAUCAGAAUGCCACGGUGAAUACGUUCCCGGGCCUUGUACACACCGCCCGUCACACCAUGGGAGUGGGUUGCAAAAGAAGUAGGUAGCUUAACCUUCGGGAGGGCGCUUACCACUUUGUGAUUCAUGACUGGGGUGAAGUCGUAACAAGGUAACCGUAGGGGAACCUGCGGUUGGAUCACCUCCUUACCUUAAAGAAGC